AACGAACGCUGGCGGCAGGCCUAACACAUGCAAGUCGAGCGCCCUUUCGGGGGAGCGGCGGACGGGUGAGUAACGCGUGGGAAUAUGCCCUUCUCUACGGAAUAGCCUCGGGAAACUGAGAGUAAUACCGUAUACGCCCUGUGGGGGAAAGAUUUAUCGGGGAAGGACUAGCCCGCGUUGGAUUAGGUAGUUGGUGGGGUAAUGGCCUACCAAGCCGACGAUCCAUAGCUGGUUUGAGAGGAUGAUCAGCCACACUGGGACUGAGACACGGCCCAGACUCCUACGGGAGGCAGCAGUGGGGAAUCUUAGACAAUGGGGGCAACCCUGAUCUAGCCAUGCCGCGUGAGUGAUGAAGGCCUUAGGGUUGUAAAGCUCUUUCAGCUGGGAAGAUAAUGACGGUACCAGCAGAAGAAGCCCCGGCUAACUCCGUG
rnacentral:rRNA from 1 species